CCUACGGGGGGCAGCAGUGGGGAAUAUUGCACAAUGGGCGCAAGCCUGAUGCAGCCAUGCCGCGUGUGUGAAGAAGGCCUUCGGGUUGUAAAGCACUUUCAGCGGGGAGGAAGGCGUUAAGGUUAAUAACCUUGGCGAUUGACGUUACCCGCAGAAGAAGCACCGGCUAACUCCGUGCCAGCAGCCGCGGUAAUACGGAGGGUGCAAGCGUUAAUCGGAAUUACUGGGCGUAAAGCGCACGCAGGCGGUCUGUCAAGUCGGAUGUGAAAUCCCCGGGCUCAACCUGGGAACUGCAUUCGAAACUGGCAGGCUAGAGUCUUGUAGAGGGGGGUAGAAUUCCAGGUGUAGCGGUGAAAUGCGUAGAGGUCUGGAGGAAUACCGAUGGCGAAGGCGGCCCCCUGGACAAAGACUGACGCUCAGGUGCGAAAGCGUGGGGAGCAAACAGGAUUAGAUACCCGGGUAGUC
rnacentral:rRNA from 1 species